rnacentral:tRNA from 1 species
GGGGCUAUAGCUCAGUUGGUAGAGCGCAACACUGGCAGUGUUGAAGUCGGCGGUUCGAAUCCGCCUAGCUCCACCA